rnacentral:rRNA from 1 species
UCGGGAAUUUUGGGCAAUGGGCGAAAGCCUGACCCAGCAACGCCGCGUGAAGGAUGAAAUCCCUCGGGAUGUAAACUUCGCAAGAAUAGGAAGAAUGAACGAGCGCUAAUACCGUUCGUGAUGACGGUACUAUUUGUAAGCUCCGGCUAACUCCGUGCCAGCAGCCGCGGUAAUACGGGGGGAGCAAGCGUUGUUCGGAUUUACUGGGCGUAAAGGGCGCGUAGGCGGCCAGCGCAAGUCAGUUGUGAAAUCUCCGGGCUUAACUCGGAACGGUCAACUGAUACUGCGCGGCUAGAGUGCAGAAGGGGCAACUGGAAUUCUCGGUGUAGCGGUGAAAUGCGUAGAUAUCGAGAGGAACACCUGCGGCGAAGGCGGGUUGCUGGGCUGACACUGACGCUGAGGCGCGAAAGCCAGGGGAGCGA